GGCGGAAGGGCGAGGAACACGUGGGCAAUCUACCUCCUGGUUGGGGAUAACCCGCCGAAAGGUGAGCUAAUACCGGAUAUGAUGGUCUGCCGCAUGGUGGAUUGAUCAAAGAUGGGGAGCCGUAAGGUCCUGUCGCCGGGAGAGGGGCCCGCGUCCUAUCAGCUUGUUGGUGAGGUAACGGCUCACCAGGGCUUACGGGUAGCUGGUCUGAGAGGAUGGUCAGCCGCACUGGGACUGAGACACUGCCCAGACUCCUACGGGAGGCUGCAGUCGAGGAUCAUUCGCAAUGGGCGCAAGCCUGACGAUGCGACGCUGCGUGGAGGAUGAAGGCCUUCGGGUCGUAAACUCCUGUCAUUCGGGAACAAUAAACUGUUCAUUAAUACUGGAUGGAAUUGAUAGUACCGGAAGAGGAAGCCACGGCUAACUCUGUGCCAGCAGCCGCGGUAAUACAGAGGUGGCAAGCGUUGUUCGGAUUUACUGGGCGUAAAGGGUGCGUAGGUGGUAUUGUGUGUCGGGCGUGAAAGCCCAUCGCUCAACGAUGGAAUGUC
rnacentral:rRNA from 1 species